UUUUUAUGCCACAGUGGCAAUGUCUUUCCUAGAAAAGCUAUUAGGGAAAAGAGACUGCUUAUUAUACCUUUUAAAGGAAUUUUCAUCCCUUUACCUACUCUGAAGAGACUUGAAAAUAACAUGAACACCUUCCUCAGGGACAGAGAUGAUGCUUCCAGCCUUUCUCAGACCAUGGUCCUUCAGGACAGCAGUGGGACCUGGUCACAGCUUUGUGUCCUGAAGCCCUUUCCUGACCUGUUAAAUUCCUGAAGCAUGGAAAUGGGAAGAUUCCGGCACUGUGGGUAUGCAGGAAUCAGCACUUUCUGCAGAUUAAAUUGUCUGCAAUGCCAUGUUUUGGGUCUACAAGGGAACAGGUUUCAGCCC